rnacentral:lncRNA from 1 species
CCUCUCCCGAUUCUAACCAUAGAAAAUUUAUCAAAAUUGGACUUCGUUUGGUCCCUCAAAUCCUCACUUAAAAUUCUCCAAAACUCGAACCCUAAUUCCCUUAUUUUCACUUUGAAAUCAUCAAUUAAAUCCCAAACACGAAGAUGAAUUUAUGAAAUAUAACCAAAACGGAGUAGAGAAUACUUACCCCAAUCCAUAUGGUGAAAAUCUCUUCCAAAAUCUCCCAAAUCCGAG